GUGAGGGAUGACGGCCUUCGGGUUGUAAACCUCUUUCAGCACGGAAGAAGCGAAAGUGACGGUACGUGCAGAAGAAGCGCCGGCUAACUACGUGCCAGCAGCCGCGGUAAUACGUAGGGCGCAAGCGUUGUCCGGAAUUAUUGGGCGUAAAGAGCUCGUAGGCGGUUUGUCGCGUCUGCUGUGAAAGCCCGGGGCUUAACCCCGGGUGUGCAGUGGGUACGGGCAGACUUGAGUGCAGUAGGGGAGACUGGAAUUCCUGGUGUAGCGGUGAAAUGCGCAGAUAUCAGGAGGAACACCGAUGGCGAAGGCAGGUCUCUGGGCUGUUACUGACGCUGAGGAGCGAAAGCAUGGGGAGCGAACAGGAUUAGAUACCCUGGUAGUCCAUGCCGUAAACGUUGGGCACUAGGUGUGGGGAACAUUCCACGUUUUCCGCGCCGUAGCUAACGCAUUAAGUGCCCCGCCUGGGGAGUACGGCCGCAAGGCUAAAACUCAAAGGAAUUGACGGGGGCCCGCACAAGCGGCGGAGCAUGCGGAUUAAUUCGAUGCAACGCGAAGAACCUUACCAAGGCUUGACAUACACCGGACCGGGCCAGAGAUGGUCUUUCCCCCUUGUGGGGCUGGUGUACAGGUGGUGCAUGGUUGUCGUCAGCUCGUGUCGUGAGAUGUUGGGUUAAGUCCCGCAACGAGCGCAACCCUCGUUCUAUGUUGCCAGCACGUGAUGGUGGGGACUCAUAGGAGACUGCCGGGGUCAACUCGGAGGAAGGUGGGGAUGACGUCAAAUCAUCAUGCCCCUUAUGUCUUGGGCUUCACGCAUGCUACAAUGGCCAGUACAAUGGGUUGCGAUGCCGCGAGGUGGAGCUAAUCCCAAAAAGCUGGUCUCAGUUCGGAUCGUGGUCUGCAACUCGACCACGUGAAGUCGGAGUCGCUAGUAAUCGCAGAUCAGCAACGCUGCGGUGAAUACGUUCCCGGGCCUUGUACACACCGCCCGUCAAGUCACGAAAGUUGGUAACACCCGAAGCCGGUGGCCUAACCCUUGU
rnacentral:rRNA from 1 species